UACUGAGUUUACGCUCUAUAACCCUUUGUGAACAUACCUAUAACUGUUGCUUCGGCGGGUAGGGUCUCCGCGACCCUCCCGGCCUCCCGCCUCCGGGCGGGUCGGCGCCCGCCGGAGGAUAACCAAACUCUGAUUUAACGACGUUUCUUCUGAGUGGUACAAGCAAAUAAUCAAAACUUUUAACAACGGAUCUCUUGGUUCUGGCAUCGAUGAAGAACGCAGCGAAAUGCGAUAAGUAAUGUGAAUUGCAGAAUUCAGUGAAUCAUCGAAUCUUUGAACGCACAUUGCGCCCGCCAGCAUUCUGGCGGGCAUGCCUGUUCGAGCGUCAUUUCAACCCUCAAGCUCUGCUUGGUGUUGGGGCCCUACAGCUGAUGUAGGCCCUCAAAGGUAGUGGCGGACCCUCCCGGAGCCUCCUUUGCGUAGUAACUUUACGUCUCGCACUGGGAUCCGGAGGGACUCUUGCCGUAAAACCCCCCAAUUUUCCAAAGGUUGACCUCGGAUCAGGUAGGAAUACCCGCUGAACUUA
rnacentral:rRNA from 6 species